rnacentral:rRNA from 1 species
UACGGAGGGUGCAAGCGUUGUCCGGAUUUAUUGGGUUUAAAGGGUGCGUAGGCGGCCUGUUAAGUCGAACGUGAAAUCCCCGGGCUCAACCCGGGAACUGCGUCCGAUACUGGCAGGCUUGAAUCCGGGAGAGGGAUGUGGAAUUCCAGGUGUAGCGGUGAAAUGCGUAGAUAUCAGGAGGAACACCAAUAGCGAAGGCAGCUCGCUGGGACGGUACUGACGCUAAGGCGCGAAAGCGUGGGGAGCAAACAGG